AGUGGCGGACGGGUGAGUAACACGUGGGUAACCUGCCCUAAAGUGGGGGAUAACAUUUGGAAACAGAUGCUAAUACCGCAUAAAACCUAACACCGCAUGGUGUAGGGUUGAAAGAUGGUUUCGGCUAUCACUUUAGGAUGGACCCGCGGUGCAUUAGUUAGUUGGUGAGGUAAAGGCUCACCAAGACCGUGAUGCAUAGCCGACCUGAGAGGGUAAUCGGCCACACUGGGACUGAGACACGGCCCAGACUCCUACGGGAGGCAGCAGUAGGGAAUCUUCCACAAUGGACGAAAGUCUGAUGGAGCAACGCCGCGUGAGUGAAGAAGGUUUUCGGAUCGUAAAACUCUGUUGUUGGAGAAGAAUGUAUCUGAUAGUAACUGAUCAGGUAGUGACGGUAUCCAACCAGAAAGCCACGGCUAACUACGUGCCAGCAGCCGCGGUAAUACGUAGGUGGCAAGCGUUGUCCGGAUUUAUU
rnacentral:rRNA from 1 species